GUGGAUUUUUGUUCUACUGUCUCGAGUGUAACCUGAUAGCCAUAAGGCAACAUUUUUAGAGUCGCUGAUGCGUUUACAUUGCAAUAGCGACAUCAGUGCUGUUUGUUGCCGAUAAUGAAUCUUGAGCUGAGAUUUUUGCACUAAUUGCUGUUUAACUAGCGAUUUAAUGCAUUGAAGCUUAAACAUAUACAAUCUUUAUUCAUGAUAAGGAGUAAUAACUAAUAAGGUACAUUUUUAAAUCUUAGUGUUUUAGAAUAAUUAAAUAAAUGGGAUUGCAGUGAUGACUCCAUAAAAUUCAAGCUCAACAGACCGGAUUGCAGGUUUUUCUCAGUCGAGAAAAUUAUUUGCGUGUCGAUACACCCGCUGAGCUGAGCAAUCUCCUUUGAUUUAUCAUAGGAUUUCACCGUUUUGAAUUAGAAUGUUUAAAUUUUAUGAUGAUAAUUUGAGGACAAUUGUUUGAAUGAAUUGUUGUUUAAUAGCCAUUGCUGUUUAAUCGCUGUAACAUGAUUCUUUGAAACUCAUCCAGAUUCUACUAUCUGAGUAUGUCUGAGUAUAGACGUCUUAGCCAUAAGGCACCAUUUUUAGAGUCGCUGAUACGUUUACAUUGCAAUAGCGAUAUCAGUGCUGUAUGUUGCCGAUAGUGAACCUUUGAGCUAAGAUUUUUGCACUAAUCACUGCUUAACUAGCGAUUUAACGCAUUGAAGCUCAAACACGUCAAUCUUUAUUCAUGAGAAUUACAAUGGUAUAUACUAUUUAUUAUCUUCUACAUGUUGAGCACAUAUACUGUGCAGAUUCUUCAGGUCUUUAAGCAGGAGUAGUCUUAAUGGUUCAUUUUUCAGUUGUAGUGUUUAAGAUUUGAGAAUGGAUAAUAAUUAUUACAUUCAGUCGUAGUGUUUUUGAUUUGAGAACUAUUAAUAAUGAAAUAAAAGGGGAUUGCAGUGAUGACUCCAUAAAAUUCAAGCUCAACAGACCGGAUUGCAGGUUUUUCUCAGUGGAGAAAAUUAUUUGCGUGUCGAUACACCCGCUGAGCUGAGCAAUCUCUUUUAAUUUUAUCAAUUCUCGAUUUUGGGUUUUAAAAUUUUCGAAUUUGAAUGUUUUUGAUUUAUACCGCCACUACUGAGUAAUGUUUCGAAGGAUUGCAAUGAGGAUAACAAGCUCCCUCUUCUGAAUUAAGCUGAGGACAAUUGUUGGCUGAAUCGAACCUAAUUAUAAUCGCCACUACUGAGGAAUCUCUCUGUAACCAAUUUUCCCCUUGUUUAAGCCAUAAUAGCUAAUAAUUAUUUAUGAUUAAUGAUUUGAAUCUCUGAAUCUUUAAACUCAAUCCUGAUUGUACUGUCUGGAGUAUAAACUCCUACUCUGCUAGCCAUAAGGCAACAUUUUUAGAGUCGCUGAUGCGUUUACACUGCAAUAGCGACAUCAGUGCUGUAUGUUUCCGAAAGUGAACCUUUGUGCUGAGAUUUUUGCACUAAUUGCUGUUCAACUAGCGAUUUAACGCAUUGAAGCUCAAACAUACAAGUCUUUAUUCAUGAUAAUUACAAUUGUAUAUUCUGUUUUUUAUAUUUUACAUGAUUAGAAAUUUAGCACAUAUAGUUAAAUGAUUCUUCAGGUCUCUGUUAAUGGUUUAAGGGGUUACUUUUAUUCUAUAUGAUAACAGAUAUGAAGCAUCAUCUUUAUGAAUCUUCAUGUCUCUUAAUUUCUGCAAUUCUGAGGAGUAUAAUUUAAUUAGAACGGUGGUGGUUGUUUUCAUGUCUUCUGCUGUGUGUGUGAUUUGAAAAGGGAACCUUUCAAAUGUUGCAAGUUUCUUUUUUUCCUUUUUUGGUCUGAGCCACGUUGACGAUAGUCAAAAAGACAAUGACCGUCAAUGCUAUGAUUAGACCUACACAAAUUUCAUGUUUCGCAUCUUGAUAGGAAUAUGUGCACUGAUUUGUCCUUCAUUUACAGAGCCAUUUGUGUGAUUACAUUUUCUUUUGAAGUUCAUGUUCAUAGUUGUGAAGAUUUAGUGACUGCCUGUGACGAUCAAAACUUAUUUGGAAUUACCGUCUGAUUUCUUUGAUGUUAACCUUUGGCUGUUUUUCUGAGGCAAUCUAAAUCAAAGUUAAAAAUCUUUUUUGUACGUCUGUUUGUUCUGUACAUUUUAUUUUUGAUGGGGAUGGUAAACGUAGGAAAUUAAGUUCUCGUAGGAGUUCCAUGGUUGUUUGUACAGUCUCAUAUUAGUUCUGUGAUUCUUUGUUUUGUAUUCACCGGCCAUUUCAAUUUUCUUCUCAUCUUUUUUGGGUGUGUUUGUCCGAGUUUUUGCUUUUAUUGAUUGUGUAGGUUUCCAUGGGACAAAUGGUUUCUUAGUCACAUGUGUUCGUAUGCUUGUUCUUUUGUAAUAAUAAUAAUAAUAAUAUGUGGUAAAUCUUAUGACUUAUUCAAUAUUAGUUUGUCUUUUGAUGGGGGAGGUUUUGGCAAAAAUCUCUCUUUCACUGAUUGGAGCAAACAAGUUAUGUUUGUAAAAUCCUCCGUAAACGUCACACAUUAAGACUGAUAUGUUGACGGUUGAAAAAUCUCCAUUUCGGGCGGUCUCAUAUUCCAUUGCCUUGGGGAGCUGCGUUGUGGCCAUUACCUCUUGGGACUGGCCAUGAGACAUAUAUUUCUUUUGUGUUGAUCUUCGUAACAAAUAGUGAUCUUGAUUUAUGUUUUGCUACCGAGCCUAUGAGGAUAUCUGAUUUAAAGAACACCAUCUUUCGGGACUGAAUGGCUUAACGCCUUGGUGACAAAUUCUGCAAUUCUGAGGCUCAUAAAUUUUGUUGCUGGGAGUCCAAGUUCAUCGCAAGGAUAUCAAGGGAAGCAAGCUAAACAGGUAGGCUUACACUGGAAGAAGCUCUGAUUUGGGCCGAGGAUGUAGGCCUACACGAGGUUGAGCUGGAAGGAGAAAACCACUUUCGUCAGAGGAAAGAAGACCAGCGUUCACUGGCACUCGUUUUCCAGUCAUAUCUAAGGAAUGAAGACCAGUGCUGUAUGUUUGCCGAUAAUGAACCUUGAGCUGAGAUUUUUGCACUAAUUGUUGUUCAACUAUUGAGGCUCAAACAUACAAGUCCUUGUGAUGACAAUUGUAUAUACUAUCUAUUGCAUUCUACAUGUUUCUCAUCAUGGUAUAUAUAAGGGAUUACUUGUA